rnacentral:rRNA from 1 species
UUAAGCAUAUCAAUAAGCGGAGGAAAAGAAACCAACAGGGAUUGCCCUAGUAACGGCGAGUGAAGCGGCAACAGCUCAAAUUUGAAAUCUGGCGCAAGCCCGAGUUGUAAUUUGCAGAGGAUGCUUCGGCGUCGGCCCCGUUCUAAGUUCCUUGGAACAGGACGUCCUAGAGGGUGAGAACCCCGUCUUCGAUCGGGUCGCCUUCGCCAUGUGAAGCUCCUUCGACGAGUCGAGUUGUUUGGGAAUGCAGCUCUAAGCGGGAGGUAAAUUUCUUCUAAAGCUAAAUAACGGCCAGAGACCGAUAGCGCACAAGUAGAGUGAUCGAAAGAUGAAAAGCACUUUGGAAAGAGAGUUAAAAAGCACGUGAAAUUGUUGAAAGGGAAGCUCAUGCUGCCAGACUUGGCCGAGGCUCUUCGGUGUCUCGGGCAGGCCAGCAUCAGUUCGGGGGGCCUGAUAAAGACCUCGGCAAUGUAGCUCCCCCGGGAGUGUUAUAGGCCGAGGUGUAAUGGGGCCACCCUGGACUGAGGAUCGCGUUCGCUAGGAUGCUGGCGUAAUGGCAGUAUGCGACCCGUCUUGAAACACGGACCAAGGAGUCUAACAUCUAUGCGAGUGUUUGGGUGUAAAACCCAUGCGCGUAAUGAAAGUGAACGGAGGUGGGAACCGCAAGGUGCACCAUCGACCGAUCCUGAUGUCUUCGGAUGGAUUUGAGUAAGAGCAUAGCUGUUGGGACCCGAAAGAUGGUGAACUAUGCCUGAAUAGGGUGAAGCCAGAGGAAACUCUGGUGGAGGCUCGCAGCGGUUCUGACGUGCAAAUCG